CAACACAAUCUUCAUCAUCACACAACACACAACAAUGAUAUUCAUCACCUUCUUCAUCUGGACUCUCACGGUGUUUGCUCGAGAGUGUGAUGGACAGAUCACAGUCACUCAGAGUCCCUCAAUAACAGCAGCUCAACCAGGAGAAGUUGUUAAAAUAAACUGUAAAACCAGCAGUAACGUCUACUGGGAGAGUACUUAUGGCUCCCGCUUAGGCUGGUACUUACAGAAAUCUGGAGAAGCUCCUAAACUCCUCAUUUAUCUGGCCAACAGAGUGCAGUCUGGAACUCCAUCUAGAUUCAGUGGCAGUGGAUCUGAUAGUGAUUUCACUCUGACCAUCAGUGGAGUCCAGACUGAAGAUGCAGGACAUUAUUACUGUCAGAGUGAACACUACAUCAACAGUAAAGAUGUGUUCACACAGUGAUAAAGA